CCUUCUCACCACCCCCGCCGGCGAGUGACCGUGCAUCCACUGGGGCUAUUAAGUACACCACCUUCCUUUACCCAUAACGCUGUGUCACUGGCUCCUGUUGAUGCGUCAUCCAGAUGUCUGAUCCGGGUCAUCGUCCUCCAAGAGACUCAGCCAUUGUUUGAUUUGACUAUGUUCAUAACUCUUCUUACAUGUUGUCUGCAAUGAACUGCUUCAUCCUCUCUUGGCAUCUCUUGUUUCUUCUCCCUCUGUGGGAGUGGUAUCCUUGAGUCUUGUCUCUUUUGUGUAUGAGUAUUAAAAUUGGUGAUACAAAGGAGAUUUUGUGGCACAGGUCCUAACAGUGCUUGGUGGCACCUAGAAGUUGCUUAACAUCUUCACGGAUCCAUAGUCUUCAUAUAUGUUUGCAUUUUAUUUACCAAAAAUUUGUCAUUCUAUCUCUUCACAUUGUAAUUUUAUAAUUGCUAUUUCUGCAUACUCUGUAUGUACGACAGAUAAUGUAUGUCUGUGCAGCCUAGAAGAGGAUGCUCUCCAUUGUUACUCUUCCUGAAGCUUGACCCAUUAAAGUUUGGAUUUUAGUUGAGUUUUUCCUUUCCAUCAGGAUUAAGAGUCACAGGUGUUGUACAAAUUGUAAAACACUCAGAGGCAAAUUUGUGAUUUGGGGCAAUAUGAAUAAAAUUGGCUUGACUUGA